rnacentral:ncRNA from 1 species
UUUUGGGAGGAUUGACAGAUUGAGAGCUCUUUCAUGAUUCGGCGGAUGGUGGUGCGUGUUCGUUCUUAGUUGGUGGAGCGAUUUGUCUGGUUAAUUCCGAUAACAGACGACACUCUAGCUCAUUAAAUAGGUGCGUGGUGCUCUGCACCUUGCACCCUUAGAGGGACAAGCAGCUCAUCGCCGUACGAAAAAGGCCAAGAACAGGUCUGGUGAUGCCCUUACAU